AGCUUGGCUUGAUCGAGUGUUCUUAGCUAUAAUCGAAGAAAAUCGGUUAACGCCGGGUUUUAACGCAACGCUUUUUUAACGCUCGUGCGAAUUAGGGCUAACUGAUAGAUAAAAUAACGCCUGCCCAUGCAAUUCGCUAUGCAUAUUAUGUGAAAGGGUGAAUCCCUUGGCAAUUGUAAGUGUGCGAAAUACGGAUUUAAUAAAAGGUAAAAAGCGGAUACCUACUGCAGUUAAUAAGAAGAUUUAAAAAUAAAAUUAUUAAAUUUAAAAACUUCGUUUUUUUAAUAAUUUAAAUCACUUAUGGCGAUACUAAAUAUUUUUUAAUAUCAAAUCAAAUCAUCAGCUAGUAAUUAAAACAAUUUCGCUUAGCACAGAUAAUGACAAGUAGUAAAUAUAUGUAGCUAAAUAUAUAUGUAUAACAUACGAAUUAAUGACAUCUCUUAUUUGUGCCGAUUCGAAGCGCCCCAACGAGCGUACGGGAAAUUAAGAUUGACAUUUUGUGUAAUGAUCUUCAUGUUGACAGGUAUUCUCAUCACUAGCAUUUAGUUCCGAGUACGCUCACAUGACGAUCGCUGCUGCUAUCAGCAACAAAAUGGUGAUAAUCAAGUUGCUUCAAAAACACGUCAUCAAUCGCAUAGGUACAUAACUACAUGGCGUACUUUAUAAAUAGUAUUAUUAUACAGGGUGUAAUUAGAAUGCUUGCAAAAACUACGCAAUUAUUUUAGGGCUAUCUAGACACAAACCGACACCAAUAACUACAUUUGCCUUAUACUUGUAGUUUUAUUGAUUUAAUAUUUUACAAACACACAAUGUAUAGCGUGAAACAUUACAGGGGUUAAUGCCCCGCCUACGACGCGGCAUUGACCCCGAUGCCCUUAUCUACGCAACGUUCGUUGACCUCUAGUGUCAGUCAGAUGUUUUAUUUGCAAUACAAGGUUUUUAUUUUUUUGCGUUUUACUGUGGUAUCUUAUUAGUAAUCAUCAGUACUAUAACUUUUUUCGUUUUUGCUAACGUUCUACUUACACCCUGUAUGCUAUCAAUAAAUAUAUUAAAAAAUGAAAUUUACAUCAAUAAAAAAAAAGUAUACAUAUAUGAAUUUGGAUAAAAUCUUUCAAUCCGUAUUUCAUUAGUGGGAUAUGGAAGACAAUGUUAAAGAUAUCUUUCUCUUCAAUUUUGUCAAUGAUUCAAAAUUAAAUGGUACGUAAGUAAAAUUAAUAUUAAGAAAUACAAGUAAAAAUAAAUAAUGCUACAGCUAAUUAAUAAUUAAUAAUAAGAAAAAAAAAUUACGUUUAAUAGUAAUAUAAAAUUAAAUUAAGUUCUCAAAAGUCUACCAUGUAUGGUAAUUCUAUUUUUUUUUCAUAUUAUUCACUCCGAUUUUUUUUCCCACUGACUUCUUAUGUUAAACAGAUUUCUCCGAGAUUCCAAAAUCAUUUUUUGAUGAUCAUCAAAUUUUGAUGAUCAUUUCAAAUGAUUUUUUUAAAAUUAAACUUGCUAAUCCUUGGUUGAGUACUAAGUAGAUUUUAAUUGAUUUUUGGUUUUUUAAGAUAUUGUAUUUUUCAAAUUUGAAACUUCUUAUUUUUGUUCAAUUGAUUUACUUACUUCAUUGAAAAUAUAAUUUCAAUUUUAAAUACAUCUUCACGUUUACAUUUGAUACAUUUUUGUAUCGAAACGAAUAAUAUGAAAACAUUUUCACUAUUAUAUUAGCAUUAUUUUUAUGGAGACUCAUAUGAAAAUGCUUUUGCAAUGAUACCUUUUUCUUAUAACCUUUUUUGGUUUCUAGAUUUACGAAGGCAUUUAAUGGCAGUGACGUAAUACUUUUUAGCGGCAAAACCUUACCACCAAGUAGCACGAUUUUGUCAACCUUUUCGACAAUUGGUAUGGUGUCUGGUUCUUGGUAAUUUCGUAGGCGGCCAAAGGGAUCAUAUCACGUUGAAGGUUCAAAAUUGCGGCAACUCUCUUGCCAAGUUCAGCCGUUAUGCUUUUUGCUGUAUGCUAAACAUUUUGAAUGAAGUAUGAAAAAUUACGCCAAUGUUUAUGACGUCACAUCUAUGAACGUAUGUAAUGUAUUUCAUACAAGCUACCAUGCAAAGCGAGUGUUUUGACGUUUGAUAAAAAGUUGCUGAUUUGACUAGGCACCAUCCCUAUUAUCAUCAUAGUUCGAAGAAUACACAUACAACGAAUUGAAAAAUGCAAUUUAAUUAAUGGGUGGAAGUUAUUACCUUUUGGCUAUGUGAAGGAUCCUAUAGUCCAAAAACCAAAUGAGUGAGGCAAUCUAGUUAAUUUUAACCAUUCUAAUAGUCCAAUCGUAAAUAAUUAUAACAAAAGACAAUUUUUGAAGGACUAUCAUAAAAGCGAAAUUGUAAAAGAGUUAAGUGCUCCAUAAAAAUAAACUAAAAUUACCAACCAAAAUAUUCAUAGACAAUUUUGUUAUAACUAUUCUCUAUAAUAAAUUGAUUUCUUGUGCUAUUCUUUUCGCAGGGAACAUUAAAAAAGGGAUAGCAAUACGUUUAGACGUGUCAUUUUAGUUUAGAGAUUGUGUACAACAGAAUUAGCCAUAUUGACGUCUAUAACUCUAAUGUUGAGAUCUAUAAAGCGCACUUUGACUUUGCUCGGUCUUAAGACACUGUUAAAACGAGAUAGCGCUAUACCGCUGGCAUAAAUCUGUCUCGUUUUAACUGAAACUUAAGUCUAAGUAAAGUCAAAGUGGGCUCUAUAGAUUUCACGCUAAGUUUGAGCAAAACUUUCGAUAUCUUAGUCUCGCAAAAAAUUCUGUGAAAUAAUAAUUUUCAGUUUUUAAGUAAUAAAGGCAUAUAAUAAAGGCAGGUUUUAUUACUAACAUGUAUUGCUUUGCUUUAGAAAAUUUGUACUCAAUACAAACAUUUAGUGUCUUCAACAAGACAAAAUGGUUACCGCCAUCACUUGUACCUAUAUACUCGUAUGUACAUAAAUAUAACAGAAAAAUACCUAAAAUUUUAAACCGAAAACCUUUUAAACAAAAUACAUGAGUAAGUAAUUAUUUACAAAAUACAUAAUAUUCCACAGAAAUUUAGAACUAUACGAUAAUUAUUUAUUUCAUAGACUCAAUAAAAUUAAAGCUAGUUUAAUAGAGAACAAAGUGAGGUCUCUAUA